rnacentral:rRNA from 1 species
GCAUGCCAACAACUUAGUUUUAAUUCACUGGAUCCCAUUAUAACUCUGUAGUUAAGCGUGCUCGGUCUAGAGUAGUACUGGGAUGGGUGACCACCUGUGAAGUCCUAGUAUUUUACAUGCC